CAGCCGCCGCGGUAAUACGAAGGGUGCAAGCGUUAAUCGGAAUUACUGGGCGUAAAGCGUGCGCAGGCGGUUAUAUAAGACAGAUGUGAAAUCCCCGGGCUCAACCUGGGAACUGCAUUUGUGACUGUAUAGCUAGAGUACGGCAGAGGGGGAUGGAAUUCCGCGUGUAGCAGUGAAAUGCGUAGAUAUGCGGAGGAACACCGAUGGCGAAGGCAAUCCCCUGGGCCUGUACUGACGCUCAUGCACGAAAGCGUGGGGAGCAAACAGGAUUAGAUACCCCCGUAGUCCCUGUCUCUUAUAC
rnacentral:rRNA from 1 species